rnacentral:rRNA from 1 species
AUUGAACGCUGGCGGCAGGCCUAACACAUGCAAGUCGAACGAGUGGCGGACGGGUGAGUAAUGUCUGGGAAAAUGCCCGAAGGAGGGGGAUAACUACUGGAAACGGUAGCUAAUACCGCAUACCAUCGGAUGUGCCCCGAGGGGAGUAGCUAGUAGGUGGGGUAACGGCUCACCUAGGCGACGAUCCCUAGAUGGUCUGAGAGGAUGACCAGCCACACGGGAACUGAGACACGGUACAGAAGCCUACGGGAGGCAGCAGUGGGGAAUAUUGCACAAUGGGCGCAAGCCUGAUGCAGCCAUGCCGCGUGUAUGAAGAAGGCCUUCGGGUUGUAAAGUACUUUCAGCGAGGAGGCGUUACUCGCAGAAGAAGCACCGGCUAACUCCGUGCCAGCAGCCGCGGUAAUUC